GAAAUGCCUUGCAUUCGCCUCAAGUUUUAUAGACGACACAAAGGGAAGUGGUUGAAAAGGAUGCGGCGGCAUUGGAACACGAAAUCAAUCAUUAUAUUAGUAUGUGCUGUAUUUGCUCUAUGGAUCCUCUUUCGCGAAAAUAAAAUACUUCAAACAAACGAUCAAAAAAGAGAGAGCUUGCAUUCCAUGAAGCAAAGAAAAGAAUUUCCUAUUCCAAACCAAAAGCUUCAAAAAUAUCUUUUGCAUCCACAUGGAAAAAAUCAAAAUACAGAAAACGAAGACAAACGUUAUUCGCAGGUCAAGCAGUUUAAAGUCGCAUACGAAAUCCUUCAAAAGAAUGGAGGGUUUUUUCUUGAUAUUGGUGCACAUGAUGGCCAGUUAAUGUCCAAUACUCUUUGGUUGGAAAGACAACACGACUGGACUGGACUUUUGAUUGAAGCAAAUCCUGAAGUUUGCAAAAGUAACGAUAAAUUAAAACGAAAUGCAUGGCGUUUGUGUGCUUGUCUGUCCAAUACUCAAGACAGUGUUUCUUUUAUCAAAGGGGGUGGUGUAGGUGGUAUCGCUGACAAUAUUGAUGAACACCACAUGAAAAUAUUAGAUCAAACGAAAAAAAUCAACUUUCCAUGUUUUGCCUUGGAACAAAUUUUGAAGACAAUUGGCGUCAGUCAUAUUGACUUUUAUUCUCUAGAUGUUGAAGGGGCAGAAAUGGCAAUUUUGAAUUCGAUGAAAUCUGGUCUUAAAAAUGGAGUGUAUACAGUGGAUGUUUGGGCUAUUGAGUACAGAGUGUGGAAUGGUAAACAGAUUGUUGUUGAGAAAUCGAAAGAAAACUUGAAUGCAUUAAGAAAAUAUUUCAAUGAACUCGGUGGCUACUUCGAACACUCGCAGUUAUCUACCGAUAGUAAUAACAAAGACGGGUACGCUCUUGACGUUGUAUUUGUUCGUACAAGCUCGUGGUGUAGAACAAGAGAAAAUUUUCCAAAUGGAACCCAUUGUCCAAGAAAGGAUAAAGCAUCGCGCAUCAAGGAUUAUCUUCUUGCUCCUCACCCCUAUCAAGAAGUAAAAGACGCAGACAAACGAUAUUCCCAAGCCCAUCAGGAUCAAAUCGUAUACGACAUAGUUCAGAAAGAAAGCGGGUUCUUUGUGGAUAUAGGAGCUAAUGAUGGACAACUAUAUUCAAACUCACUAUGGCUAGAAAGGCAACACGGGUGGAAAGGACUUCUUAUAGAGGGUAACCCGGAUUUAUGUCGAAAGAUCGAUCAACUAAAACGGCAUGCAUGGAGACUCUGUGCAUGCCUUUCAAGUACUUUGAAAAAAGUAACUUUUAUAAAAGGGGGUGCACUGGGUGGUGUUGAGAGUCACAUUGAUAAACAUCAAUUGAAUAUGUUAGACAGAACCGACAAAGUCACUGUACCUUGUUUUACUUUGGAGGAGGCGCUAAAUGUGAUUAAAACAGAUCAUAUAGAUUUUUUCUCUCUAGAUGUUGAAGGAGCAGAGAUGGCCGUACUUGAGUCUCUAAGAGAUGGACUCAAAUCACACCGCUUUACGGUGGAUGUGUGGUCGAUUGAGUAUCGCGUGUGGGACGGUAAACAAGUUGUUUAUGAAAAAUCCUUGGAAAAUCUGAACUCUCUUAGGCGAUACUUUAAUGAAAUAGGAGGUUAUAGUGAACAUUCCCAACUUUCUAACGAUAAAAACAUCAAUGAUGGCUAUGCAUUAGAUGUGGUGUUUGUACGAAAUGAAAUGUAUUGUAAAAGGCAUGAUGAAUUACCAGACGGCACUGCAUGCACAUUCCUGUGACAAUGUAAGGGUUUAGAAAACGAGAAGAUGGCGGGCAGGGCUCAUGCAGACAUGCUACAAACCAUUCGCAACAAAAUGAAUGAACAGAAAAUGGACAUGGAGAAUACUAUGGCCAUGCAACAUGACAAUUUUAAAAGAGAAUUACAGGGAACGACUUCCUCCAUAUCGUCUGAAGUGAAGAAGUUAAAGUCAGAACAAGCGAUAGUCUGGAAACAUCCAGGUAACAAAGAUCACUUUGAACAUAACGAGAAGAUUAUUGCUUGAAUAACAAUAAAUAUGAUUAUUGCAAGGAACUUAUUCAUGAAUCAGUUGAACUUUGUAAUAAGCGUAACAAACUAAUCAAAAUGGCUGAUGCAUCACCUUGUAGGUGGAGUACAGUGAAAAAUUAUGUAACCAAUGCAUUGGCUGAUGAUGAUUUGGAUGACGAAAAACGAAUGUUUAAAGCGGAAAAUAAAGCCAUGAAAGAAAAGAAAGAAAAGAAGCAAAAAGAAAAACUGAAAUCUAAGAGUAGUUAUUCUAAUGUUAGGAUCAGUGCUCCUUAUUUUCCUUUUCCAGCUGGACAGCCUUUUCGUGGCCCAACGCACUUUGGUUUCCCCAUCAUGCCAGCUGCAUCCAGAUUUCCCAUUGGCUGUUUCCACUGCGGAAAACCCAAUCACCUAAGUAAAGAAUGCCCAGAGCUCAAGUCCGCUAAAUAGAGAGGCUAAACAGUCUAAAGAAUCAUCUUUGAUAAAGGUAAUUGAAAGAGAUUUGAUUUAGCUGCCUUCAAAGUUGCGUGAAAAAGUGUAUGCACUUCCUGGGAUUAUUCAAGCAUCACGAGCGGAUUCAACUAUACACAAAUAUUGUUAACAGUUUCCUGAGAUUUAAGAAGUGGACAAAAAACAAUGAAUCGAGGAAAGAGAAUUAUUUCCUUCAAAACCUUAACAUCUAUCUAUUUAUUUAGCAUGCUUGAUUCAACGGGCA